CCUACGGGUGGCAGCAGUGAGGAAUAUUGGUCAAUGGGAGAGAUCCUGAACCAGCCAAGCCGCGUGAGGGAAGACGGCCCUAUGGGUUGUAAACCUCUUUUGUCGGAGAACAAAACCCGGGACGUGUCCCGGACUGCGUGUAUCCGACGAAAAAGCAUCGGCUAACUCCGUGCCAGCAGCCGCGGUAAUCCGGAGGAUGCGAGCGUUAUCCGGAUUUAUUGGGUUUAAAGGGUGCGUAGGCGGUCCGUUAAGUCAGCGGGAAAAUUGCGGGGCUCAACCCCGUCGAGCAGUUGAAACUGGCAGACUUGAGUUGGCGAGAAGUACGCGGAAUGCGCGGUGUAGCGGUGAAAUGCAUAGAUAUCGCGCAGAACUCCGAUUGCGAAGGCAGCGUACCGGCGCCAGACUGACGCUGAGGCACGAAAGCGUGGGGAUCGAACAGGAUUAGAUACCCCUGUAGUC
rnacentral:rRNA from 1 species